UCACUUGUGCAGGGUUGCUGCGUUCCAGCUGCACUUUCUGGCUGAGCAGUUGCUGGUGGUCUGCUGAGAAGCUACGUGUGUGUGUGUGUGGUUGGGGUGUUUCCUCCGUCCGUACCUCCAGGUGCAAGCAGAUCCAGUCGUGGAGGAAAGAGUAGUUUUUGAGCAUGAGGAAGCCAACGCCCUGCUGCUGGUUGAGGGAGGCAUUGAGUUACAUCUCGCAGUAUCUGGGAGCCCUUCUGCGCUGCGGGAAGGGAGCCUUCCCAGAGGAAGCCGUGCCGCCGGGUAGUUGCAGCAUGCCCUUGAAGACUCUGCUGGCACGGGCAGGUUGGGUUAACAGCCAAAAUUUAUUGGAGGUUCCUGGCCAAAUAAUAAUAAUAAAUAAUAAUAAUAAAAAAAA